AGAGACCCAAUUAUAGUGAGAGUGAAUCUCUCAAUGCCGGUCGCAAUGAGCAGCCAGUGUGUCAGGGAGUGAGAUCCUGAAUUGGUGGGAGGCGUUCAAAGCUUCCAAUAUUGCAGGGGUUAUAUACCCUGUGUGUCCGCUGUGGAGAAGGUACCAGUCAAACGGAUGUAAUCGUACACAUAAGCGUGGAAAUCCCAAUAAAGGUUAUGGUACCUGAAAUGCCCUGGUCUCUUUAGUAUUAAAGGCUCACCCUGAUAGUACUGCAGGUUAUGUCCCUGCAUUCAGUAUGUGUAGUUGACAAUAUGAUAACAAGAGUACAGUAGCAAUUAUCUUUACUUGUUAUUGAGGACAGAAUCCUGACCGUAGGAAAGAAGAGUCCCUGAAGGCUGUUGCUGGGUACCCGGUCGUC